rnacentral:lncRNA from 12 species
GCAACUUUGUGUCAGGGAGUUGGAUCCAUAAACUGCUAUUGAUUCGAACUCCUAAAAAGAUAAUUUUGAUGGUGCCAGGUGGCCUGAACUUAUGGAGCCAGUGGAACUGCAGCAUCCAUGACAGUAGCAUUCAGCCCUGCAGGGAAGGUUCACUCUGUGUCACAUCUUGCCAACAGCUUGUAAAAAAGACAGUUCUAGUGGACUGGAAGAGACCAAACAAGAGGACCAAGGGAAAUAUUUGUUGCAGAGAUCUGUAG